CAGGCGUCUAAAGUAGGCUUCCAACAAUGCCUUACUGAUGAGUCCAGUAGUGGAAGUUGGGACGAAACGCCAU
rnacentral:hammerhead_ribozyme from 15 species